rnacentral:rRNA from 1 species
AUUGAACGCUGGCGGCAUGCUUUACACAUGCAAGUCGAACGGUAACAGGUUAAGCUGACGAGUGGCGAACGGGUGAGUAAUGCAUCGGAACGUGCCCGAUCGUGGGGGAUAACGCAGCGAAAGCUGCGCUAAUACUGCAUACGAUCUGAGGAUGAAAGCGGGGGACCGUAAGGCCUCGCGCGAUCGGAGCGGCCGAUGUCAGAUUAGGUAGUUGGUGGGGUAAAGGCCCACCAAGCCGACGAUCUGUAGCUGGUCUGAGAGGACGACCAGCCACACUGGGACUGAGACACGGCCCAGACUCCUACGGGAGGCAGCAGUGGGGAAUUUUGGACAAUGGGCGAAAGCCUGAUCCAGCAAUGCCGCGUGCAGGAAGAAGGCCUUCGGGUUGUAAACUGCUUUUGUACGGAGCGAAAAGGCCCUUUCUAAUACAAGGGGCUCAUGACGGUACCGUAAGAAUAAGCACCGGCUAACUACGUGCCAGCCGCCGCAGUAAUAC